CCUACUGGUGGCAGCAGUGGGGAAUAUUGCACAAUGGGGGAAACCCUGAUGCAGCAAAGCCGCGUGAGUGAAGACGUAUUUCGGUAUGUAAAGCUCCAUCAGCAGGGUAGAAAAUGACAGUACCUGACUAAGAAGCCCUGGCUAACUACGUUACAGCAGCCGCGGUUAUACGUAGGGGGCAAGCGUUAUCCGGAUUUACUGGGUGUAAAGGGAGCGUAGACGGCUGCGCAAGUCAGAAGUGAAAGCCCGGGGCUCAACCGCUGUAUUGCUGUUGAAACUGUGUAGCUAGAGUGCAGGAGAGGUAAGUGGAAUUCCUAGUGUAGCGGUGAAAUGCGUAGAUAUUAGGAGGAACACCGGUGGCGAAGGCGGCUUACUGGACUGUAACUGACAUUGAGGCUCGAAAGCGUGGGGAGCAAACAGGAUUAGAUACCCCAGUAGUC
rnacentral:rRNA from 1 species